UACAGAGGUCUCAAGCGUUGUUCGGAUUCAUUGGGCGUAAAGGGUGCGUAGGCGGCGCGGUAAGUCGGGUGUGAAAUCUCGGGGCUUAACUCCGAAACUGCAUUCGAUACUGCCGUGCUUGAGGACUGGAGAGGAGACUGGAAUUUACGGUGUAGCGGUGAAAUGCGUAGAUAUCAGGUGGAACACCCGUAGCGAAGGCGGCAUUCUGGGCCGAUACUGACGCUGAGGAGCGAAAGCGUGGGGAGCGAACAGG
rnacentral:rRNA from 1 species